GACGAACGCUGGCGGCGUGCUUAACACAUGCAAGUCGAACGGAAAGGCCCUGCUUUUGUGGGGUGCUCGAGUGGCGAACGGGUGAGUAACACGUGAGUAACCUGCCCUUGACUUUGGGAUAACUUCAGGAAACUGGGGCUAAUACCGGAUAGGAGCUCCCGCUGCAUGGUGGGGGUUGGAAAGUUUCGGUGGUUGGGGAUGGACUCGCGGCUUAUCAGCUUGUUGGUGGGGUAGUGGCUUACCAAGGCUUUGAAGGGUAGCCGGCCUGAGAGGGUGACCGGCCACAUUGGGACUGGAAUACGGCACAGACUCCUACGGGAGGCAGCAGUGGGGUAUAUUGCACAAUGGGCGGAAGCCUGAUGCAGCAACGCCGCGUGCGGGAUGACGGCCAUCGGGUUGUAAACCGCUUUCGCCUGUGACGAAGCGUGAGUGACGGUAAUGGGUAAAGAAGCACCGGCUAACUACGUG
rnacentral:rRNA from 1 species